AGUCAUCAACCUCCCCCGUUUCGUGCGGCGGGCCGGUUGGAGCUGGGGGCCUGCGGCCGCGAGGUCGCUCCCCUAAAAAGCUUCGGUUGGGCCUGUGGGUCGGACUCGGUCGGGCGUUGUACCAUCCUCGCUCUUCAACCCCGAGAUGUUCCCCUUUGCGUGCCCUUCUACGGCCGCCUGUAGAGCUUGCGGCCAAUCACCUUUGAA
rnacentral:misc_RNA from 1 species